GACGAACGCUGGCGGCGUGCUUAACACAUGCAAGUCGAACGGAAAGGCCCUGCUUUUGUGGGGUGCUCGAGUGGCGAACGGGUGAGUAACACGUGAGUAACCUGCCCUUGACUUUGGGAUAACUUCAGGAAACUGGGGCUAAUACCUGAUAGGAGCUCCUGCUGCAUGGUGGGGGUUGGAAAGUUUCGGCGGUUGGGGAUGGACUCGCGGCUUAUCAGCUUGUUGGUGGGGUAGUGGCUUACCAAGGCUUUGACGGGUAGCCGGCCUGAGAGGGUGACCGGCCACAUGGGGACUGAGAUACGGCCCAGACUCCUACGGGAGGCAGCAGUGGGGAAUAUUGCACAAUGGGCGGAAGCCUGAUGCAGCAACGCCGCGUGCGGGAUGACGGCCUUCGGGUUGUAAAGCGCUUUCGCCUGUGACGAAGCGUGAGUGACGGUAAUGGGUAAAGAAGCACCGGCUAACUACGUG
rnacentral:rRNA from 1 species